rnacentral:lncRNA from 1 species
UUACAGUUUUUGGGUUUUUUUAACAUACACUUUUUAAGUUCUUGAUUUUGUUAAAAUAGAUGACAAAAGUUGGAUCACUGCUAUUGCAUAUGGUUAAAUUUUAUACACAAAAGUCAAUCAAAUUUACUGAAUCAAAUUUAAGGUGGCUCGCUUCUAUAAUCCCAGCAUUUUGGGAGCCUGAGAAGGAAGGAUCGUUUCAGCCUGGGAGUUCCAGAUCAGCCUGGGCAACAUGGCAAAACCCAGUCUCUGCCAAAAAAUGCAAAAAUUAGCCACGUGUGGUAGCAUGCGCCUGUGGUCCCAGCUACUGAGGAGGCUGACGUGGAAAGAUUGCUUAAGGCCAGGAGUUCAAGGCUGCAGUGAGCU